GGGGGGCCGGCCGCGGACGGGCGCCUUGCCAACCCGGUCAGGUCCGGAAGGAAGCAGCCGCAGCGAGUUUCCGCUCGGGUCGCCGGUCCGGUCCCCCACU
rnacentral:SRP_RNA from 1 species